GGUACGCACGGCGACUGGCGAGCGGGGAAGCGACCCCGGGGAAGCCGUGCGCGGCCUGCCGCACGAGGUGCCGCCCGCCUGGGCACCCCGG
rnacentral:ncRNA from 2 species